ACAAGCGGUGGAGCAUUGUGGUUUAAUUCGACGAUACGCGAAGAACCUUACCCGGGUUUGACAUUGUAUCGAAGCAUCCAGAGAUGGAUGUGUCUCUUCGGAGACGGUAUGACAGGUGCUGCAUGGCUGUCGUCAGCUCGUGUCGUGAGAUGUUGGGUUAAGUCCCGCAACGAGCGCAACCCUUGUGUUUAGUUGCAAACAGGUCAAGCUGUGCACUCUAGACAGACUGCCGUGGACAACACGGAGGAAGGUGGGGAUGACGUCAAAUCAUCAUGCCCCUUAUGAUCUGGGCUACACACGUGCUACAAUGGCCGGUACAACGGGCAGCGAAGGAGCGAUCCGGAGCGAAUCCUAAAAAGCCGGUCCCAGUUCGGAUUGCAGGCUGAAACUCGCCUACAUGAAGUUGGAGUUGCUAGUAAUCGCGAAUCAGAGUGUCGCGGUGAAUGCGUUCCCGGGUCUU
rnacentral:rRNA from 1 species